GGGCCUGUAGUACAAUGGUAGUGCACCUCGUUUGCAACGAGGAAACCCGUGUUCGAUUCACGGCAGGUCCA
rnacentral:tRNA from 1 species